ACAGCUUGUGCCGCUGCCUCCCCACCCUCACAGGGAAGGAUUUGUCCCCAGUGCCCCCCACCCAGGCGUUGGACACGUUUCUAGGAGGCGUGAAGGGCUGCGUGGCAAAUCCCCCUGCUCUUUGCAGCUGAAAGGGGAAAUGAGUGGAAACACGAUGUUGAACCCUGGCUGACCUGAAAAUAAACCCCAAAGUCUGCAGAAGACCCUUAUCACCACUGCCACCUCAGCUGUAUCCUGCAGUGGUUCCUGCUUACUCCAGGAGUUUCCACAACAUCUGCCACUCCGAGGGAUGUACAACAUCCCCCAAGCACCCCACGGAUGUGGACCUUGCAGUGCCAGUGCCCUCAUGGCCCGAGGUGAGGUGGACCUGAGGAAGGUCACGGUGGGUACCAGAGGGACUGAGCCAAGCCUGGUCCAGGGAGGUGCCAAGAGCAGCUCAUCUCUGGAGUUCAACUAAAGACACAGCACCUGAGACCUGCAGGCACCAUGUGAAGAGGCUGACGUGGGACAGGAAUCACAGCUGACCUGGUGACCAGGACAACUGCCCUGUGCUCCUCAGCAGCAGCAGCAGCCCCAAGCCAAGCCAAAAUCCUGGCGUUUGACGCAUCAUCACGUUCCCAUCCCAGCCACAAACUUCCCUCAACAGCAGCAGGAACAGAAAAAGAGGGGCCAGAGCAAAGCUCUUGGACCUCUUGUUCCUCAUCUAUUUUUUUUUUUUAAAGAACGGGCUAUAAUCAGAGCUGGAGGAAAUGGAGCAUAAAUAUCAAACUUUGUUUAGUCUGGGGAAAUAUCAUUUAUAAUUAGAGCUGGGCAUCCUGUUGACAUGAUAUAACCUAUUUUAAGUGUGAGGUGAGCAUACGGUCAACUUCUAAUCUUUUGCAAGUGAUUAAAAACUGCCAGUUCUUGUGUUCCUGA